AGGUCAUAGAUCAUUGAAAGUGUC
rnacentral:siRNA from 1 species